rnacentral:pre_miRNA from 1 species
CUCAUACUCCCUCCAUCCUAAAAAGCUUGUCCCUCAAAUGGAUGUAUCUAGCACCAAGUUAGUGCUAGAUACAUCCAUUUGAGGGACAAGCUUUUUCGGACGGAGGGAGUACAUG